AGGGAAGUGCCUCAGCGCCCUGCUCCUGACACAACCUGUUUUGAGACCCUCUCUGCCCCAGGAAGCAGCCCAGGAAGCCAGGGGCCAGCAGAGCUGCAACCAGAGAGAACUUCCUAAGAGGCUCGAACCGGGAGACUGUGGGAAGCCCCUGUCAGCUCUGGAGACUGUCGCCCCACAUCCUUCCCCUCAAGGGCCCUGAGGGUCUGGAAGUCUGAAGGAGCUCAUGAUCUCAGGACAAUUCCAACACUCAGUUCUGGUCAGAUCUGCAGCUCACCACCCAGUUUGAAGCACAGGAAGAACACAUGCCUUAAAACAUGGAUGACCGGGUAAGGUGGCAGCCACCCCCAUCCCCUCUCUCUGCCUGGCUUGUUGUCCUGCCUUUUGCUGCUUUCAAAACUGCACAAGUCUCAAUGUCUGGAAAGUGGGUAUUUCCUGAGUCCGGUUCAUCCCUCCUGCUUUGCCCUGUGAACUUUUCCAGCAAUCCUUCCUUCACUUCCAACACCCUUGUGUCCCAUUCAGGAAGGCACCAGAACCUUUUCCAGCCCUGCUCCUCCUUGGCAUGCACCAGAGCUCCCUCCUAUCACAGCUUCCCAUCCAGUGGAUUCUCCUGGGGUCUUUGGCUCCUUGACCUCCUGGCCUUAGCAAUCUCUUCGUGGUUCCCUCUCCAGCACCCACCUCUCUCCCGAGACCUAGCUUGGCCAGUCUACCUCAGAGGCCCACAGCUCCUCACCCCUCCACCGCAGGUCAGGCGAGCCGCUCACCAUCUUCUCCCUGCCUACACUGAGCUCAGGACCCACCCCCUUAGUCAGGGGCAUUCCACUGCCCUGCCUCUCACCCUGGACACAUCUUGGUCUCUCCUCCUCCUCAC